AUCCAGCUGACGAGUCCCAAAUAGGACAAGACGCACGUUUUGGAU
rfam:Schistosoma haematobium scaffold354_9, whole genome shotgun sequence.